CAGAACACAAUCUUCAUCAUCACACAAGACACAACAACAACAAUGAACAACAUCAUCAUCCUCAUCUGGACCACUGCAGUUUUUAUUCAUGAAUCCAGAGGAGUCACUGUGACUCAGCCUAAAGUUACAACUGUCCAGCUCGGUCAAACAGCUACAAUAGAGUGUAGUCUGGAUGUAGGACUAACCUCUAAUGAUUUGGCCUGGUAUCAGCAGAAACCUGGAGAAGCUCCUAAACUCCUCAUUUAUUACAUAAACAGCCUCCAGUCAGGAACUCCAUCUAGAUUCAGUGGCAGUGGAACUAGAAAAGGAAAAGAUUUCACUCUGACCAUCAGUGGAGUCCAGACUGAAGAUACAGGAGAUUAUUAUUGUCAGAGUUACCACAGUGGUGGUGUGUUCACAUUCGGUGGAGGAACUAAACUGGUGCUCGCUGGUCCCACAGUGAAGCCCUCAGUGUCUCUGCUGCUGCCCUCUUUCUCUGCAGAUCUCUGGAGACUCAGCCGCACUGCUCUGCCUGCUCAGCUCUUACUCUCCACAGGGGGGCGCUGGUGAGCUGGACACUGGAUGGCUCAGAGGUCACCGAG